GAUUUAAAAAUAAGCCAAUAUUGCUUAUAAACUGGGACCUUGGUCUAUAUAUAUUUAGGUAUAAACUUUGCUGCUAGAGGGAGACAAAUGAGAUAUGGGGUGCAACUAAUCUAGCAGCAAUGGAAAACAAAAUUUCUUCUGGUGAAUGAUGCUGAAAACGAUGAUGUCUGCCAGGACCUGAAGAACUGGGAGUGACUGCCUUGACUAUGCAUAGGAAGGCUCUGAGGCCCAGAAAGCCAGACUCUUCCCAAACGGGGAAAAAGUGAUUCUCUUUUCCUAUUUCAUCACCAUGGUCUCCCAAAGGUCCCCAGGGUUCUGUUAUGCCCUAAGUCACACAGUUUUCAAAGAAGGCCAAAGAGAAGAGUUGGAAAGGAGAAAGACAUGGCUGAAAAUGUGGUCACCCAAAGGUUGUCCUCUGUAAUCACGGCAUUUCAGAAAACUGUGCUGAAGAGCCUGCCGAGCUUGCACACGCAGGAGCUGGAUCGGGGACGCUGUGGCAUUGAUCAGCCUGAGCUGCUGACUUUGAUGAGAAAAGGACAAAUUUUACACAAGCUGCAAAGACGGUUAACGUUACAGCAUUGUAUUUAACUCUGCUACACCAUAAAGAAAAUCCUCUUCCUCCUCUCUUAUUUGCUAAAUAACUAUCAUCUCUUCUCUGUGGGGUGGAUGCAGUUUUCAAAAAACGAUUCAGCAAUGCCAUGCAUGAAAGGCAUUGGAAAUGUCACCCACUGGGCGAUUUCCGGCCAGCAGAUAUAUGGGAGAUGGGUGCGCCCGCGAGUCCCUCCACUGUCUUCCUGGAUCCUCAGCUCCUGCUGCCUUGAGCCCUUCUCUCUUCAAAUUGUAUGUUUGUUUUUAUGUGUUGGCUUUUAUGCUUGGUAAGUUAUAACCCUGUAGGGGCAGACCCUAAACCCCAUUUAAAAAAAAAUCAAAUUACUUUAUACCCUGAGUGCUUUCUGCAAAUAAAAUCGAU